rnacentral:rRNA from 1 species
AUGCAGUCGAACGCUUUUUCUUUCACCGGAGCUUGCUCCACCGAAAGAAAAAGAGUGGCGAACGGGUGAGUAACACGUGGGUAACCUGCCCAUCAGAAGGGGAUAACACUUGGAAACAGGUGCUAAUACCGUAUAACACUAUUUUCCGCAUGGAAGAAAGUUGAAAGGCGCUUUUGCGUCACUGAUGGAUGGACCCGCGGUGCAUUAGCUAGUUGGUGAGGUAACGGCUCACCAAGGCAACGAUGCAUAGCCGACCUGAGAGGGUGAUCGGCCACACUGGGACUGAGACACGGCCCAGACUCCUACGGGAGGCAGCAGUAGGGAAUCUUCGGCAAUGGACGAAAGUCUGACCGAGCAACGCCGCGUGAGUGAAGAAGGUUUUCGGAUCGUAAAACUCUGUUGUUAGAGAAGAACAAGGAUGAGAGUAAAAUGUUCAUCCCUUGACGGUAUCUAACCAGAAAGCCACGGCUAACUACGUGCCAGCAGCCGCGGUAAUACGUAGGUGGCAAGCGUUGUCCGG